rnacentral:rRNA from 1 species
GACGAACGCUGGCGGCGUGCCUAAUACAUGCAAGUCGAACGCAGGGGGGACGGGUGAGUAAAACGUGGGUAACCGCGCAUCAAAGGGGAUAACACUUGGAAACAGGUGCUAAAACCGAUACGGGAGGAUGGACCCGCGGUGCAUUAGCUAGUUGGUGGGGUAACGGCUCACCAAGGCCACGAUGCAUAGCCGACCUGAGAGGGUGAUCGGCCACACUGGAACUGAGACACGGCCCAGACUCCUACGUGAGGCAGCAGUAGGGAAUCUUCGUCAAUGGACGAAAGUCUGACCGAGCAACGCCGCGUGUGUGAAGAAGGUUUUCGGAUCGUAAAACUCUGUUGUUUGAGAAGCGGUAUCUAACCAGAAAGCCACGGCUAACUACGUGCCAGCCGCCGCGGUAAUUC